GCCUCCGUGCUGUUUCCAAGGGCUGGAGCCCCACACUGAUUUAUUUGGUAACCAUCACAGGAAUUUCAGAAAAUGAGAACUGGAGGAGGAAGCGAGGCCUGAAGUAAUUAAGAUGAUUUGUUACACGCGAUUCAGAGCCUUCAGAUGAGAGUGAAUAUUAAGCUUAGUAUUUACAACACACCCAGAAGAACAGUACCUUCCGAUAACCCAUUCUAAAAUGGAGAAGAUACUGGAUGGGGAAGGUUUCAAGAAGUCAUAAAGAGAGAAAGGAGAG